AUUGAACGCUGGCGGCAGGCCUAACACAUGCAAGUCGAGCGAGCGGCGGACGGGUGAGUAAUGUCUGGGGAUCUGCCUGAUGGAGGGGGAUAACUACUGGAAACGGUAGCUAAUACCGCAUACCAUCAGAUGGACCCAGAUGGGAUUAGCUUGUAGGUGUGGUAACGGCUAACCUAGGCGACGAUCCCUAGCUGGUCUGAGAGGAUGACCAGCCACACUGGGACUGAGACACGGCCCAGACUCCUACGGGAGGCAGCAGUGGGGAAUAUUGCACAAUGGGCGCAAGCCUGAUGCAGCCAUGCCGCGUGUAUGAAGAAGGCCUUCGGGUUGUAAAGUACUUUCAGUCGGGAGGCGUUACCGACAGAAGAAGCACCGGCUAACUCCGUGCCAGCAGCCGCGGUAAUUC
rnacentral:rRNA from 1 species